AAUGAACGUUGGCGGCGUGGAUUAGGCAUGCAAGUCGAGCGUGUACCCGCAAGGGGAAAGCGGCAAACGGGGUAGGAACGCGUAGGUCACGUACCCCUCGGCCGGGGAAAGCCACGGGAAACUGUGGGUAAUACCCGAUGACGCCGAGAGGCCAAAGGUGUGAUUCCGCCGGGGGAGCGGCCUGCGUAGUAUUAGCUAGUUGGUGAGGUAACGGCUCACCAAGGCGAAGAUGCUUAGGGGGUGUGAGAGCAUGACCCCCACCACUGGGACUGAGAUACUGCCCAGACACCUACGGGUGGCUGCAGUCGAGAAUCUUCGGCAAUGGGGGCAACCCUGACCGAGCGACGCCGCGUGUGGGAUGAAGGCCCUUGGGUUGUAAACCACUGUCAGAGGGGAUGAAACGAUCAUGGGUUCUCCCAUGGUCCUGACAUAGCCUCAGAGGAAGCACGGGCUAAGUUCGUGCCAGCAGCCGCGGUAAUACGAACUGUGCAAACGUUAUUCGGAAUCACUGGGCGUUAAA
rnacentral:rRNA from 1 species